rnacentral:rRNA from 1 species
UCUAGCAUGUGCGCGAGUCAUUGGGACUUUUUUUUCAGGAAAGCCUAGAGGCGCAAUGAAAGUGAAGAUCGGCCUUUACGGCUCGAUCGAGGGAGGAUGGCUCGCUGUUUUACUGCGAGUCCGCACUCCCGGGGCGUCUCGCGCUCAUUUCGAGCGGAGGCGCACCCAGAGCGUACACGUUGGGACCCGAAAGAUGGUGAACUAUGCCUGGUCAGGACGAAGUCAGGGGAAACCCUGAUGGAGGUCCGUAGCGAUUCUGACGUGCAAAUCGAUCGUCGGAACUGGGUAUAGGGGCGAAAGACUAAUCGAACCAUC